rnacentral:rRNA from 1 species
GAUGAACGCUGGCGGCGUGCCUAAUACAUGCAAGUCGAGCGAACAGAUGAGAAGCUUGCUUCUCUGAUGUUAGCGGCGGACGGGUGAGUAACACGUGGGUAACCUACCUAUAAGACUGGGAUAACUCCGGGAAACCGGGGCUAAUACCGGAUAAUAUUUUGAACCGCAUGGUUCAAUAGUGAAAGACGGUUUCGGCUGUCACUUAUAGAUGGACCCGCGCCGUAUUAGCUAGUUGGUAAGGUAACGGCUUACCAAGGCGACGAUACGUAGCCGACCUGAGAGGGUGAUCGGCCACACUGGAACUGAGACACGGUCCAGACUCCUACGGGAGGCAGCAGUAGGGAAUCUUCCGCAAUGGGCGAAAGCCUGACGGAGCAGCGACGCGUGAGUGAUGAAGGUCCUCGGAUCGUAAAACUCUGUUGUUAGGGAAGAACAAAUUUGUUAGUAACUGACCAAGUCUUGACGGUACCUAACCAGAAAGCCACGGCUAACUACGUGCCAGCCGCCGCAGUAA